GACGGGGCCCGCACAAGCGGUGGAGCAUGUGGUUUAAUUCGACGCAACGCGAAGAACCUUACCUAGGUUUGACAUCCCGGGGAGUCUCUUGAAAGGGAGAUGUGCCCUUCGGGGAGCCCGGAGACAGGUGCUGCAUGGCUGUCGUCAGCUCGUGUCGUGAGAUGUUGGGUUAAGUCCCGCAACGAGCGCAACCCUUAUCUUUAGUUACCAGCACUUCGGGUGGGGACUCUAGAGAUACUGCCCCGGUCAACGGGGAGGAAGUGGGAUGACGUCAAGUCCUCAUGGCCUUUAUGCCUAGGGCUACACACGUGCUACAAUGGCCGGUACAGACGGACGCAAAGCCGCGAGGUGGAGCAAAUCCUAAAAAGCCGGUCUCAGUUCGGAUUGCAGGCUGCAAUUCGCCUGCAUGAAGUCGGAAUCGCUAGUAAUCGCAGGUCAGCAUACUGCGGUGAAUACGUUCCCGGGCCUU
rnacentral:rRNA from 1 species